GAUGAAGAACGUAGCGAAAUGCGAUAAGUAGUGUGAAUUGCAGAAUUCAGUGAAUCAUCGAAUCUUUGAACGCACAUUGCGCCCUUUGGUAUUCCUUAGGGCAUGCCUGUUCGAGCGUCAUUUAAACCUUCAAGCUAAGCUUGGUGUUGGGUGACUGUCCGCUUCACUGCGGACUCGCCUCAAAAUUAUUGGCGGCCGGUACAUAGGCUUCGAGCGCAGCAGAAACGCGAACUCGGGCCCGUCGUAUUGGCUCCCAGAAGCUAUCUUCACAAUUUUGACCUCGGAUCAGGUAGGGAUACCCGCUGAACUUAAGCAUAUCAAUAAGCGGAGGA
rnacentral:misc_RNA from 1 species